AGCAGGGGUGGGUGGUGGGCCAGGGACCAAGGUGAGGGGUAAUGUCUGUGGAGAAAGGGGUUCCGUUAGACUAUUCGCUCUGGGGUAUGAGGGAUGUGCGGGGUAAGCAGCGCAGAGCAGUGAGGGGACGCGGCAAGGCCCGAGGCCAGGCCCGGCUUCACGGGCGGUCGCACCUGGAGCCAGGAAGCAGAGGGGCGCAGAUUCAGCGAGAAAAAUUGUGGGUGCCCUGGAACGGGCUCAUUGUGAUCGGGAAGAGAAUGGAGCUCCUGGGUAGAAAUACACAAAAGCCUAGGAUGUGGGGCCCCAAGCUUGACUCUGAGAACUGGAGACUGGACGGUGUGGAAAAGAGGGUCUUGAAAGAGAAGUCAGGCCAGAGUCAGGAAAGGAUGGAUGUGAAGCUACUGCCCAGUGUAGCAGGUGCAUUACAGGCUUCGGCAGGUUUGGGGAAAAACAGCCCAAGGGAGAUGUGGGGAAAGCAAGAAAUCAGAGGCAAAAUAGGCGCUGAAUCUGGAAGUGCAGGCACUACAGCAGGGUCUAGGAUGGGGUCUGGUUUUAAAGACAGGUUGAAGGUUACUGGGGUACGGACCAGCGGAGAGGACUUGAGAUCCAGGGGAUAUACACUAGGGCAGAAUGAGGAGGCGCUGAGGUCCAGUGGAGAGAAGUUGAGGUCAAGUAGAGAGAGGCUGAGUCUGCGUGGAGGGAAGCUGAGUCUGAGUGGAAGAAAGCUGAGUCUGACUGGAGAGAAGCUGGGGUCAAGUGGAGAGAACCAGGGAUCCCGGGGAGAGAAGCUGGGGACUAGUGGAGAGGAUUUGAGAUCCACUGGAGAUAAACUGCAGUCAAGUGCAGAAAAGCUGGGGACUAGUGGGGAGGAUUUGAGAUCCACCGGAGAUAAAUUGCAGUCAAGUGCAGAAAAGCUGGGGACUAGUGGGGAGGAUUUGAGAUCCACUGGAGGUAAACUGCAGUCAAGUGCAGAAAAGCUGGGGACUAGUGGGGAGGAUUUGAGAUCCACUGGAGGUAAACUGCAGUCAAGUGCAGAAAAGCUGGGGACUAGUGGGGAGGAUUUGAGAUCCACCGGAGGUAAACUGCAGUCAAGUGCAGAAAAGAUGGGGACUAGUGGGGAGGAUUUGAGAUCCACCGGAGGUAAACUGCAGUCAAGUGCAGAAAAGCUGGGGACUAGUGGAGAGAAGCUGGAGGAUUCAGGAAUGGGGAGCAUAAAUGAAGAGGGUAUUGAAAGGUUGAUAGAAGUUACUGGUGCUGAGAUGGAAAUUCCUGUUGAAAGAGUGGAAGGGAAUGAUGAGCUCGAAGGGGCUAAGGAGGCGGGACUUGAGGAGGAUGUCUUGGAUGGGGUGAAUGAUAUUGCUGAUGAAUCUGUUUCUGUGGAAGAGAAAGAGGUUACAGGUGAAGGUAGUGGUGAAUGAGGCAGAUGAAGGACUGAAGCUAAAGGAAGAAAGGGAAGCAGAUAGCGGAAGUGUUGCAAGUCAAAAAGGAGAAAUUAAAGCCAAGCAGAGCGUUAUUGACCCUGAAGAGGUAAACACGAGAGAGGAAAGGAGAGCACGGGAAUGAAGAGCUUCUGGGGUUGAAGGUGGAGGCGAGGGCCAAUGGAGACAAAGAAGGGUGAGAAAAAGGGAAAUGGGAACAUUUUGAGGAGAAAGAAAAGAUCUGAAAAUGUGUUGAUAAGUAGAGGAAAAGUGGAGAUUGGUUUCUUGGAGAAGAGCUGUGCCUUGUAGGGAAAUGUUUGAGAAAGGGAUUUGGGGUGGGCUAGAAGAUUUCGUUUGAUGUGUGACUGGGUUUACGAGAUACAGAAGAAUGCACAGUGAGAAAAAUGGAAAAUUACAGAAGGACAAAGGAUAGGUAAUGGAGGUUGUGAAGGAAGAAGCAAGCUGGAGCGAGCAAAGAAAACUUCUCAAAGAGGAUCCUGAAGAAGAAUGAGGGGCUCCAAAGUGACCAAAGCAAGAGCAAAGAAAAUGAGGGAAGAGAAAAAAAAAUCUCUGCCUUCCCAAGAUCAUCUGCUCCUAGCCUCGUCUGGUGAUUCUCUGAGCACGGAGAAGUUGUUGCCUCUCUUAAAGGAGGCCCACACAGGCACGAGGUCAGGACAGUUGUGUGGGGCUCUCCAAUUGCACUGCACAAUGUGUACAUGACGAAGGAAAUAAUCAGACCUGUUCUUUGGAUGGAUUACAUUUUCUCCUGGGACACCGGAUGCAUUCCACUGAGGCCGCAGAAAGGAAAAGGAUUGAGACGCCACGACAAAUGGAGGCCACCUUGGUAGAAGUUCUCAGCCCAUUUACACAGAGAGAACAAGGGAAGAACAGAGGAAAUCUGUCACUUGAUGCCCAGCUCUUAUAUUCAGGAAACAGAACCUGGAAGAUCUAAUUCUCUAUGUUCUGCCAGCUGGAACCACCCGGGGAAGCCUUCCCUCUGCCCCAAGCCAGCAGCUGUGUUGCCGGUCUUUGCCGGCCACCGAGCGACUUCUCAGCCCUUCUCGCCUCCUCGUCUCCACUGCAGUUUCUCUGACCAGAGGACUCUUACUUCCAUCCUCAGCGAGGCCAUCUCCCUGGGCCCCGGCCAGCUCUCCUGCCAGAAUCUCACCUUCUUAUCUGUUCUUACUGGCACCUGGGGAGGGUUUAGAACAUGCCUGUGGUGGUGGCUGAGGACAAAGCAAGCAUCCAGAUUGCUGAUGGAAAUAGAGAGACCCUCUGCCCACCCCACGGCCCACACCUCUUCCCUUCCGGCACCAGGGUGCUCUUUUCCCACCUCCUGGAACAUCACGUCAAAGGCCCACACCUGGCAGCCGCCCCCUCCUCGUUGUCCAUCUAGCAGGGAAAGGACAGGAUGGAAGAACACUGAACUGGGACUCAGGGACCAGGUCCCCAGACUGAUCACGUCUCCACAAGCGAUCUCGGGGUUUUUCACUCAACCAGGAGAAAGGCAGGCCUUGCAGCCUGGCCCCAUAGUCUUCUCAGUGUCUCAGACAGUGGACCCGGCGCAUCAAAGACUCCUCGCUUCCGCCGGGCUUCCUCCUCGAGCCGCAGCUGGGCUAACUCGGCCUUCGCCAUGGUGACUCUCGUUCCACAAAAGGAGGUCUGUUAUUAGGAGGCAAGCAGGCUCUCGGGAACCCCCAGGCUUGCCUUGAAACGAUGUGGGAGGGAGGCAGGGUCACGGGGGAAGGGAAGAGCCAGUGUGAUGCGCUACCCCAGCCCAAGGCGAAGAACAGAGCGCAGCGCGUUCCCCAGGCAGGGCCGGAGGAAAGUCUCAGGUUAAACGUCUCAGGAGAACCAAGGCACAGAGGAGGUGUGAAAUGUCCAGGAUAAAUAGAACCGCACGGGGAGGGAGAAAAGCCAGCUCCAUCCUCUCUUAAAAACAGCUGCCAUCGGCACCAAAAAUAUAUUAAUAUCUGUACAUUUGUCAUCUUUAAAAAAAGGAAAUAAAACUUCCUUGGCACCUUGUA